CCCAUAAUGCUUCGGGGGAUGUAAACAGGAAGGAUAAAGUUAAACUGGCCUACAACUUGAGCCACAUUUUCUUUUGACAUAGAUAUUUGUCCACGAUGUGGGACAUUAGCAGCAUUAAACACCAAAUUAGCUAAAAAAAUAAAUAAUCAUGAAUGUACAGACAACUAUCACUGUUUAACUUUGAUAAUGAAGAAAACCUAAAAACGGGAAGAUUUUUAGGCAAGUUCUGGAUUUAUGAAAAACGUCUUUUUUCUACGCGGAUUUAUGGACGUUUACUCGCAACAUCGGGGAUAAUGAUAUCUUCAGAAAGAAUUCUCUCUUUGGAAAACAACGGCCAACAAAACUUGCAUAAGAAAUCCUGCUUGGGUAAUCCACUUCUGGCCUGUACUUGAGCCAGCUGCCAUCUCAAGUCUUCAAAUUAUGAUUGGAUCGAUCUGUCCAGCUCAAACAACCGUACACGGUUUCCUUCUUUACCGCCUCCUCCUGCUGCAGCUCUCAGCUGUUUUAGAGGCGAGGCGACCAUCUGGCUGCU